ACAGCACUGGCAGCAGCAGUAACAGUAGUAUUAGUAGUCGUAGUAGUAGUAGUAGUAGUAGUAGUAGCAGUAGUAGUAGUAGUAGUAGUAGUAGUAGUAGUAGUAGUAGUAGUAGUAGUCCACGUCAUCACUCUUAGUUCUUCUGUUUCUCUUAUGGCACAUUAUGUGAGCACGCCUUUUUUCGUGCAUUUUCGUGCCCUUGGCCAGCCUCCUCGACAUGUAAGAAAGAAAAAAAUCAUCAUCAUUUUCAUGUUGAUCAUUAUCAUUACCACCGUCAUCACCAUCGUCGUCUUUUGAGCAGUAUAUGCAUAUGGCUCGUGGCAACACCUGAUAUCAGCGGGCUGAGCACCGCGCGGCCCUGCUACUUCCCUCAGACAAUAUUGAAGCGAAAUUGCCAAUUAUAUUUCAUUUCACAUGCAGGGUUUCCAUUUCAUUAUUCACUGUCAUUAUAUUUCUAGAACGUCUUUCUUCCGUGUUACCUGCCGAGACCAAAAUGUCUUUGGUUAUUAUUAUUGUUAUUACAACCUGCUCACAGCGCCCCGCCCACUGUCAGCACCGGUAGUUCACGAGAAGCGCCGCUCUUCUCGCUCGAUUUAGGCACAGUGUAAUACCCGUACCAUUUUUCUUGGUAUUGAUUUACUUGUCAUCUGAAUUGUGCCGCGAUAGAUUAAAUCAUUGCUGACCCCGAGGAAAUGACUCAGGGAGUUCAUUGUGACACACUGGUGCUCCUCGUGACGUUCCGCCUUUUAUUACUUUCGCUUGGGACAAACAGGCACCGACGUUUUCAGUGGGUGACACCAUUGUAUUAUUUAACAUUAUUGUCGUCGUCGUCUUCAUCAUCAUCAUCAUCAUCAUCAUCAUCAUCAUCAUCAUUAUGACUACUAGCAAUAACAGCGGCAGCAGUAGCAGUAUUAAAGUAGAUAAAUGUAUGCUAUACAUUUUUAUAGACAUGACUUUUCACGUGUCCAAUUCCCUUCAGCAAACAAUAACGUUUUGUCUUCUCUUUUUUCUCAGGUGUGUUGGUGUCCGUGUGUGGGUCUUCUGCAGAAUUUGCUCACAUCUGCCGUCGCGUGUAGGCGUUACUGUCUCGGAGCAGGCCCGGCUGUCUAGUGGUCGCCAGGCCGUGCUGAGGGAGGGGUGAUGUUACCACUGCUCUUCACUUGAGGUUGCACGUGGCCGCUGCUGAACCCGAGAAACGCCUCAAGCCCGCAGGAGCCACGCAGAGCCUCUGACGUCACUCAUGUCCCUGGAACCCUGCCUAAACUGCAACUCCUGCUGCCCACCCAAGUGCCCGUGCCGCUCCUUGUCGCAGCCUCCACACCAAGUCUCACCUUGCUCUGCAUGCGCUGAAGGCAAUGGCAAGUGACAGAUUGGCAACGUUUCAGGUACAAUGUAAAGGUUAUGGUGGUAGUUAUUUUGCCUUUUCAUAUUGUUGAAAGGGUUUGGCAGGAAUGGUGUUUGCAGGAGCAUUGCUUAAGAGCUUGGUACAUCCCUCCUCCCUUCCCCUCAGCGCUCCACUCAACACUAUAUUUUGCCGCACCUCAUCACACACACGAGACCAACCCACACCUCACCAUGCACCUACCUAUGUCACACCACAUCACAGCAGACCACGCCACACCACACCACACCUACCUAUGUCACACCACGCCACACCACGGAACGCUACAUCACGCUGUCAUAUCACACUACGCCACAUCAAACAAAGCUACACCCAAAACAUACCGCAUAACGCCCCACUCCACUCCACCCAACCCCACCCCACCCCAUUAUCCCAUUCCACCUGACACUCUACUACUGUUUAAUUCUCCAGAUCACCACCUGAAAUCGGUACACACACACACACACACACACACACACACACACACACACACACACUAAACUGUUUACAACACACAAUGAACACGCACGCUUCACUUGAGACUUAGAGUAAAUUUAAUCGUGACAGUUAAUCUCUCGUAACAUUUAGCUUCCCUGCAGAGCAGUGUGAAGGAGUUGUUGUUACGUUAGUGGUCCCAGCGGAUAUACGCGUUGUUUUGGCCUGGCGGAGAGGCAGUCAUUAACAUCCUCGUAGGUGUGGUAUGGCUUAUUAGGCAGUCAGUGGAAUAACUGGAAUCCUUUUGAGGUGGAAAACGACGACGAGGAGGAGGAGGAGGAAGAGGAGGGAAAGGGAGAGGAGGAGGAGAGGAGGAAGAAAGGAAGUGGUGGAGGAGGAGCAGGAGCAGAUGAAUGGUAUGCAUGUUCUUGACGACUGUUUUGUUACAUUCACUUACGUGUUAUUCAUUUUAAUUUCACUCCUCACCUGUUCAGCACGUUAUUUGUUCAUAUAUUCAGAUUAACAGGAGACUUCAUGCAGAGUUCGUUAAAUCGAAGGUGUGUGCGUGCUUCAUAGCAGUUAUGCGAGUAAAUUCAACUUUAAUGUCAAGAUGAACUGAGGAACUUUUUUUUUCCCUUCUCUCAUCGCAGUACUGGUAAGAGCGAUCAGACUUGCUGUUCAAGUUGGGAACAGUCUGCCUUCUGCAGUUAUCUUUCCUUUUACGACUUGGACACUUUAACGUCACUUCCAAAAGUUAAAUCGAUUUCCAUCAUUUGGACUUCCUCUUAAUGUUCCUCUGGACACAAAGGUACACUCACUCGCCCUCGUCUACAUGUAACGUAUUUAUUUUUUCUAUAAGUAACUGUUGUUACGAGUCAGUUUAUAAACAUCCUCAGUUUAUUAAAGGAAUGUAUAUAUGUAGAGCUUGUGGGUUGUGGUUUGUACGUGAAGGACUGACGCCCACUCAGCGUGUGAGUGAAGGUUACUGGGGUGGGAGGCGAGGGUCGUUGUGGGAAGCGAUCAGCGAGCGAUGUGUGGCGUGGUGGGCGUCCACUCGGCUCAGUCAAUUGUAGUUUCAUUCAAACAAAACAUUCUGCCUUCCCUAAAAAAAAUUGGUUCUCAAAUAGAGUGGUAGAUGAGUGGAACGGACUCAGUAAUCAUGUAGUUAGUGGUAGGACACUAGAGAGCUUUAAGAGAAGAUUAGACAAGUUUAUGUAUGGGGAUAAUAGAUGGGAAUAGGUAGGUGUGUUUCAUACAGGGACUGCCACGUGUAAGCCUGGUCGCUUCUUGCAGCUUCCCUUAUUUCUUAUGUUCUUGUGUUCUAAAACAAAGACUACAAGAAAAGAGAGCACUUUUCCGUGUUGCACAACUUUCACCCAGGCUAAUGUUUUCUUUGCCAUUCUGUGUGGCCUGGACCAGCCAGCCUACCGCGGCCUCCUAGCGGCGCCACUGUAAAGACUUGAAAAUCUGUUUCGAGGUCUCCCUGAGGAGACGACUAAACAACACGCGUCCUUGCAUGACGUGACAAACAGCGCCGUUCCUCGCGUCUCAAACUGAUCCUGGCAAAUUGUUCUGGCAGGUCUUCUUUACGGAGAAGCAUUGACACUUUUUUUUCGUAUUAUCGAACCGGGUGUCCCGAGCCGGAUGUUCCGCGCCGCUGGUGGAAUAUUGCUCCUCAACCAAUGCGACAAAUCAGCAGCUGAAUGUUUCUUGCGCAGUUGACCAAACUUCAUUUUCUUCUUUGGCAUUUCCCGGAUCUGGAAAAGAAUCACCAUUGGGCGAAGACAUAAAGCGCCGGAUGGAUUUACAGGAUUAGAAAUCAUAUGCAUUUCGAAAGAGAAACCGGAAAGUAUAGUUUGGGUCGGGAGCGCGUCUGUUGGUGCGGCGCCUCCGUGUCUGCUGGGUAUCCUCCGUCCCUACCCGCUAUCCAUCACCACCACCACCACCAUUAAAGCUUACCGUCACUCUGCAUUGCUAGACGACAGGCAAGACACAGCACGUCCUGAAAAUUAUAUUAUCUACUUUAUUCACACUACAGCUUCCCCUCCCCUUCCUUGUAGUGCGGAAUAAAGGACAAUAACAACUUUGAAGAAAUUUGAGAUUCAACGCCUUCGCAGACUAUUGGGUAGGAACUACUAAGCUGUGUUCUCAACGUUAACAACGCAGGUGAAGGGAAAUCUGCCUCAGUAUCUGGCUCAGUAUGUACAUUACUAUUAAUUACGGUCUUCCUACGGUCACUCGGUUUCCUAUUACAAUACUUCACAACACCUCCCAUGAAACAAUCAGCGCAUUGAAAGGUAACCGUUUUCGCAUCAGUGAUUGAAUAUACAGAAACUUGCCUAUUCCCAUUUCAAAACACUGCAUUGCGUUCUGCUAACUAACUGGUAUUAGAAUUAAGACGCCGCAAUAAAUAACCCAUAUGAUGCCAGUUUAGACUAGAAGAACGCGUAACCUCUUUCAAAAACAACAACAAAAUGUAGUGAGGAUCGAACUCACAACCUUUAGGACGCGCAGACCUUGAGGCAACCCGUGAAAUCCGUUCCGCCACGCUUCACGGCCGGCGCUACUGUUCACUGUGCCUGCCUCCUCACCCUGGCCACUGGCAGAUGGGAGGCUUCAAGAUGAUGCAUCGACGUAAGAGUCCUUCAUGAAUUAUUAACCUUGGGGGAUGGGGGGGGCGGAUAAGCGUAAGCGUCUUUUGUUCUAUUCUCUGCGGGAUCAUGAUUUCUCAAGUUCAGCGGAAUAUACUCGUAAGUGUGUCUGAAGGCGAGUGACUGAAGGGGAAGCGAGGGACAGGAGGAAAUAGAAUGGGAAAGGGGGAUUAAGAGGAAUGGGGAGAGGAGAAAGGGUAAUUGAUAAGCUAAAUACAUUUGUGUUCAGAUAAGGGAUCGGUGUGUGUGUGUGUGUGUGUGUGUGUGUGUGUGUGUGUGUGUGUGUGUGUGUGUGUGUGUGUGUGUGUGUGUGUGUGUGUGUGUGUGUGUGUGUGUGUGUGUGUGUGUGUGGACUUGAUAGAAACAUUUAAAUGAAUAAAACAAACUAAUAAAGGUGGUAUAAGUAAUUUUCUCACAGUAACUAAUAAAAAAAUAACUAGGUAAUUCAUAAGCUAAUUACAUUUAUGUUUAGAUAAGAAAUGGGUGUGUAAAAGUAAAGGACAGACUGAGGAUGUUCAGUGUAGAAGAGGGGGGCAGUUGAGUGUCACUGAAGAAGAGGGGAUAGUUGUCUGGAAGGUUGUGCAGGGUGGUUUCACCAGCGUAGGAGUGGAUAGGACAAGAAGUUUGGUUUA